GUCUAUGGCCAUACCACCCUGAACACCCCUGAUCUCAUCUGAUCUUAGAAGCUAAGAAAGGUUGAGCCUGGUUAGUACUUGGAUAGGGAGAUAUUGCUU
rnacentral:rRNA from 1 species